GUAGGGAAUAUUGGGCAAUGGAGGCAACUCUGACGCAGCCAUGCCGCGUGCAGGAAGAAGGCGCUACGCGUUGUAAACUGCUUUUAACCGGGAAGAAACCCCAGGACGUGUCCUGGGUUGACGGUACCGGAGGAAUAAGCACCGGCUAACUUCGUGCCAGCAGCCGCGGUAAUACGAAGGGUGCAAGCGUUAUCCGGAUUCAUUGGGUUUAAAGGGUGCGUAGGCGGAGCGUUAAGUCAAUGUUGAAAUCCUGCAGCUUAACUGUAGACUUGCCAUGGAUACUGGCGCUCUUGAGUGCGCUUGAAGUGGGCGGAAUGUGCCGUGUAGCGGUGAAAUGCUUAGAUAUGGCACAGAACACCAAUUGCGAAGGCAGCUCACUAAGGCGAUACUGACACUGAGGCACGAAAGCGUGGGGAUCGAACAGGAUUAGAGACCCCAGUAGUCC
rnacentral:rRNA from 1 species